rnacentral:lncRNA from 10 species
AGCCAAGUAAUCUAAGAAAGGCAGAAUGACAGCUAGCCUGGGAAAUGGAAUAACAUCACUUCUGUCACAUUCCAUUGGCCAAACAUAUCAAACUUGAUACAGCAUGAGAGGGGACUAUACAAGAAUGUGGAUACCAGGAAAUGAGGAUCAGUGGGGACCAGCUUGGAGGCUGACAACAACAGGAGAUGAUAAUGAAUAGUGAAAAAUGCCAAGCAGACAAUAAGCAGAAGGAACAGAGGAAAUCCACAAACUGGAUAAUUGUUUCUUGAGUAACUGACCAUCAAUCUAGAUAGUGGUUGCAGUAAUUUCAAAUUCUUCUCUUCCUUUUCACUUCAGGUGAAUGAAACCUGUUUUCACCGAGAAUGAGCUUCUGUCUUGAUAGCUUUCAUUUGGUCUCUUUUCGAAUCAGAAGACCCAGAAAACUUGGAUCCACUUCUGGCUCUCAUCCCUCUGGGCAGUGUGAUUUGGA